rnacentral:rRNA from 1 species
AGUGAACGCUGGCGGCAGGUCUAAUACAUGCAAGUCGAACGGCAGCACAGCAGAGCUUGCUCUGUGGGUGGCGAGUGGCGGACGGGUGAGGAAUACAUGGGAAUCUGCCCAGUCGUGGGGGAUAACGUAUGGAAACGUACGCUAAUACCGCAUGCGCCCUACGGGGGAAAGUCGGGGACCGCAAGGCCUGACGCGAUUGGAUGAGCCCAUGUUCGAUUAGCUAGUUGGCGGGGUAAAGGCCCACCAAGGCGACGAUCGAUAGCUGGUCUGAGAGGAUGAUCAGCCACACUGGAACUGAGACACGGUCCAGACUCCUACGGGAGGCAGCAGUAGGGAAUAUUGGACAAUGGGGGCAACCCUGAUCCAGCCAUGCCGCGUGAGUGAAGAAGGCCCUCGGGUUGUAAAGCUCUUUUGUCCGGAAGAAAGCAAUCGGUUAAUACCCGG